UACGAAGGGGGCUAGCGUUGCUCGGAAUCACUGGGCGUAAAGGGUGCGUAGGCGGGUCUUUAAGUCAGGGGUGAAAUCCUGGAGCUCAACUCCAGAACUGCCUUUGAUACUGAAGAUCUUGAGUUCGGGAGAGGUGAGCGGAACUGCGAGUGUAGAGGUGAAAUUCGUAGAUAUUCGCAAGAACACCAGUGGCGAAGGCGGCUCACUGGCCCGAUACUGACGCUGAGGCACGAAAGCGUGGGAGCAAACAGGG
rnacentral:rRNA from 1 species